rnacentral:lncRNA from 1 species
UAGUGGUGUUGCACGGGAAGGGCAGAGUGGGCCCCGUUUCUUCUGUUGCUUUUUUUUAUGAGUGCGAUGACGUGGUUUGUUUAAAGCUUUCUCCAGAUAUUCCUGGAUCCAUUUUAGCUUGGGAUCAAUGCACACUUGCUUGCUGUUGCUCUUGAGCCUUGCAACAAUCUGAAGCGAGCAGUUGGGAGUGGAAAGGAUUUUGAGGUGCUUAAUGUUGGCCCUCGCCACGUUGCUCUCGAAGAAUCGACAGGGGCAUCGGUAAGUCAGGCUGACAGGCUUCUCCUCCGACAGGGAGAUGACUGCCAGGGCAAAGGCGAGCAGAGCCAGGGCGCGGAGGUCCAUUCUGGCGACGGUGCAGGCGGGCAGGCUCGGAGCGGCUCAGCUCGUCCCGGCGGCAGCAG